rnacentral:lncRNA from 1 species
CAUUAGUACAGCCAUGUCAAGGAUACAAUGCCUCAGACCCCUGGGAUAGCAAGGCCUUCCCACGGUUCUCCAGAUGUUGGCAGUGUAUAUUUGCCACAGUUUCCUCCUCCCAGAUCACUGCAAUACGAGACUACUCCCUCACAAAGACCCUCUAGCAAGAUCAGUGCGUCAUUCAAUGUGCAGCAGACUGCUUCUUUUUGCAACAGAUGGAAAGUAGCACAGAGAUCUGCUACCGGACAAUGUACAGAGAGUGAGAGGCUUUAGAGAGCUCGGUCCUAAACGGGAGGUCUUCAUCAAACCCCUCCCUCAAGGCUCGGGGAUCUAUGCGGAAGAGAAGGCAAAAGGAUCCCAAGAACCAGAGGUGCUGGAUGACUACAAGGUGACAGCUUCCCCAAGACACAACUGGACUGAUGCACUAUGAGCUCAGAGACUGUGGUACUGCACGUCGGACCUUGCACAGGCUCAUAUCAGAUGGGAUACCAGCGCUGAGGAGGGGGAGUAGAUACAAGGUCCACCGCUAACCAACACGUUAUUUGCAAUUGAUAUCUGCUGGCAGAGGGAAAAUCGGUUUUCUACAAUGAACCAUGACUGGAUCUAUCAACCAUAAUCCAGGGAAGGCCCCCACCGUCCCCCCCCCACUACUAACUUCAUUUUAUCAUCUUUGUCUUAUUUGUUGUUUUAUUUGUUUUUUUGUUUGUGUUUGAAAAAGAGAGAAAACACGCAAUUGGGUGGGUAGAGAGGUGAGGAAAAUCUGGAAAGAGUUUGGGAAGAGGAAAAAUGUGAUGAAAAUGUUAUUUUAUGAAAAACAUUUUAAGUAAAAAGUUUAAAAAAAAAAAGCCGGGCAGUGGUGGCACAUACCUUUAGUCCCAGCACUAGGGAGGCAGAGGCAAGAUGAUCUCUUUGAGUUCAAGACCAGCCUGGUCUACAAGAGCUAGCUCCAGGACAGCCUCUAAAGCCACAGAGAAACCCCGCCUCGAAAAACCCAAAAAAACAAAACAACAACAACAAAAAACCCAAAAAAUCAAAACAAAUUGUCAAUGAACAUUUUAUUUUACUGAAAGUGUUAUUCUACUUUUAUUAGUCAUUACUAGCAACUUUACUUUUAAUAGAAAUCAUAACUUGUAUUUGUAUUUGUAGGUGAAUUUUAAGAUGGAAAUAUUUGUGAAGGGCUACUUGUUAGUGUAACAACAGUGGCCAGAUCCAUGGGUUUUAGGGGGACAUUGGCAGGAAGGUCUCCGUGAGCAAGGACCCUCUGGGACUGAAGGCUUCCUGAGGCCAGAGAUUUUUGAUUUAUGUACUCCCGGCUCUGUCUAACAAAGUGCCUGACGUAUUGUUAAAGAGAUCUCUGAGAGUGUUUGCUGCUUUUUCCCCCCUCUUUGUACACAAAUUUUCUCUUUCAGCCAAUGUUUUCACAAAAAGAGAAUGACUUUGCUGCUUUUUGAUGAACAGCUGGGUUCUGCUGCCUAAUGCGUUCUUGAAAGAUGAAGUAAUCUUGAGAACUCUGACAUGCUUGGGUGACUGUUUCCUACUCUCUUGCUCAUAGUUUUCAGUGACAUUAUUUAUGAAACUUUUCCUUUAUUUAAUAAUUAAAUUAGAUCAGAAAUGUAUCUAAUAUUAAAUGUUUAAGUAUCCAAAUAAAAGAAUUCUCAGUGUUCAGAGUUGAAAAGGGGAAAGGGUCAUUAUAUUCCAUUAUUGUUGUUAUGUGUGUUGGGAGGGUGCUCAUAGGGGGCCAGAUGACAGUCUUGUGGAGUAGGUUCUUUCUUUUCCUGGGCUCCCGGGACUGAACUCAGAUUAUCAGGUUGGGUGACAAAUGCCUUUACCAUCUCUCUGGCACUAGAUUUUUAUUGUUGCUAAAAAUUUCAGUUGAUUAAUGUCUUUCCUAGUCUACGACCCGUAGCCAUCAAUAAAUGUCAUCAGCACCAAAAUUAAAAGUGUAUUUCAUAAUCAAAUGAAACUUUUGAGAAAUAAUUUCUCAAGGGCUUUCCAUAACUGGAGGGUGUCUGUGUGGAGUGCUCACGGGACUCUGCCUGAAUCAUGGCAGGUGGCCGCCUGUCUAUGCAUGUGAAUGGCACCCGGUUUCAUUGGCCUUCCUGAGUAAUUACAGUGCCAUUGGCCCUGAGCCAGCAUCAGAGCUUCAAAAAUGAGUAGAGACAUCAUAUCCAAAACCUAUGUGUUAUGGAUACAAUAUUGGUAUGAACACAGACAAAAUACAAUGAUGUAAAUAAAACAAUGGGUGUCUAGAUAUUGAUAAUGCCCAGCCCUAUAUUCAUACUUCUCCCGGCCUGUGUGGGUUUGGAUGGGAGGACUGGGUGAUAUACCACAUCCCCCUUUUCUGCUUUGUAUUUUAAGACAGAGUGAAGUUGUCUAGGCUGGACAUGAAUCUGCUCUGUAGCCCAGGCAGGCUGUAAGUUUGUGGUCUUGAAGGGACCAGCUCCCCAUUUAGGCAGCCAUAACAGCCAAACACAUGUGCCUUUAUUGUCUGACCUUGUCUUAGUCACUAGGAGGUCAGACGUCUGCCUCAUGGCA